CAGCCAUGGCCUCUGAAGCUGCAGUGGAUUGCGCACCGGGUGCAACUAGGGAUAACAAGAGAGAAUCUUUAAUCCGCGGAUACGAGCGCUGCUGACCAGCGCUGGAAACGAUUUGGCGGCAGAGCAAGCGAUGUCUCAGAAAGAGCUAAAGGAGGUGACCAGCCCCACUUGAUGCUAGUUGUGUUUCCGAAGACUCAGGCCUUGGCUCACGGCAGCCACUCUGACAUUAGUGAGCAGUUGACCUUCCCCAGCUCCAAUAUGCUGGACAUGAGAGUGAAGAAGCCAUUUGGACAUUAACUCACUCAAGUCUUCAGAUGACUCCAGCACCAACCACCAGACAAUUGCAACUGCAUGACAGAUCAUAAGAAGAACCUUCCUGCUGAGCCCAGACAAUCCCACAGAAGAAUGAGAGGUGAAGACAUAACAAGAAAGUGCUACGUAAGAAGCGGAGCAUCUUCAUUAGACACUGAAUCUGCUGGCAACUUGACCUUGGAUUUCCCAGCCUUCAGAACCGUGAGCAAUAAAU